rnacentral:rRNA from 1 species
AUUGAACGCUGGCGGCAUGCCUUACACAUGCAAGUCGAACGGCAGCACGGGAGCAAUCCUGGUGGCGAGUGGCGAACGGGUGAGUAAUAUAUCGGAACGUGCCCAGUCGUGGGGGAUAACGUAGCGAAAGCUACGCUAAUACCGCAUACGAUCCAUGGAUGAAAGCGGGGGAUCGCAAGACCUCGCGCGAUUGGAGCGGCCGAUAUCAGAUUAGCUAGUUGGUGGGGUAAAAGCCCACCAAGGCGACGAUCUGUAGCUGGUCUGAGAGGACGACCAGCCACACUGGAACUGAGACACGGUCCAGACUCCUACGGGAGGCAGCAGUGGGGAAUUUUGGACAAUGGGCGAAAGCCUGAUCCAGCAAUGCCGCGUGCAGGACGAAGGCCUUCGGGUUGUAAACUGCUUUUGUACGGAGCGAAACGGUCCUCUCUAAUACAGGGGGCUAAUGACGGUACCGUAAGAAUGAGCACCGGCUAACUACGUGCCAGCCGCCGCAGUAA